GCCGUCUUAGCUCAGCUGGUAGAGCACUUGACUUGUAAUCAUGAGGUCUCCGGUUCGAUUCCGGAAGACGGCU
rnacentral:tRNA from 1 species